AGAGUUUGAUCAUGGCUCAGAACGAACGCUGGCGGCGUGCCUAACACAUGCAAGUCGUGCGAGAAAGGUUCCUUCGGGAACCGAGUAAAGCGGCGCACGGGUGAGUAACACGUAGGUAACCUGCCCCUAAGCCUGGAACAACUGGAGGAAACUCCAGCUAAUGCCGGAUAAGACCACGGCCCCCUUGGGGACCGCGGCCAAAGAUGGCCUCUACUUGUAAGCUAUCGCUGAGGGAUGGGCCUGCGGGCCAUUAGCUUGUUGGUGAGGUAACGGCUCACCAAGGCUGUGAUGGCUAGCUGGUCUGAGAGGAUGACCAGCCACACCGGGACUGAGACACGGCCCAGACUCCUACGGGAGGCAGCAGCCAGGAAUCUUGGGCAAUGGGCGCAAGCCUGACCCAGCAACACCGUGUGGGCGAUGAANGCCUUCGGGUCGUAAAGCCCUGUUGAUAGGGACG
rnacentral:rRNA from 1 species